GGGAAAUAUUUGGCCAGUGGCUCCUUCCAUAAGUGCGUGCAUAUCUGGAAUACUCAGGUAAUCCCCCGAUUGCCGCGACCGAAUCCUUUCCAGAAGUGAUGCCCAAACAGCGUUUGUGGGGACCCAGGCCAGGAGCGGCGACUGGGAAGCCUGUGCUUAGGAACGAGCGGCCUCACACAGAGCCUGGAAGCAAACCCUGCCUUGCCCAGGCGGACCUCGGGCUCAGCACUGUGGGGCUGUGGGCCUUCCCCCCCCCCUGCCCCCUCAUCAAGGGAUCUCCCCAUCUUCGACUUUCUCUAAGCCCCUGGCAUGAAACCUUCCACCUGCAGAUGACCUGCGGUCAUCUCAGCAAAGUGUCACCCAGCCCUUUCCAGAGAUGCCGCUGUCGGUCACAAGGGUUCGAGGGGGAGAGGCGUCCUUCCGUCCGAGCUUACCGGGCAGGGGUGCCAGGCCGGCCCUGACCUUCUGCGCUCCCCGCCAACACCAGUACCUUCUCCGUGCAGCAAACCAAGGGGCACAAAGGAGUGUGUUUGCUGUGCUCAUGCCAUUUGAUGGUUUUUGACUGAAACGGUGUUCGGGUAGCAAAGGAUAGGUCAAUGAUGGGUUGUCGUGUUAUCAGAACUAAAAGAGAAUGUUUGGUUCAGUGUAGCCACUGUAAGUGCCUACAGCCAUAACUGAGGGUAAAUAGCAUUCUGAAUAUAGAGAGUAGAAAGACAGGAACUGGUAUAGUACAGAAGAUUUUUUAAGUGAUUUUUGAAAGAGGCGGAGAGAGAGGGAAACCGAGAAUCCGAAGCGGGCUUCGCGUUGUCAGCGCAGAGCCCGAGGUGAGGCUUGCACUCUCAAGCCCUGCGAUCGUGACCUGAGCCACAAUCGGGAGUCAGACACUUACCUGAGCCACCAGGCACCCCCAAUACAGAGUAUUGUAUCGGGCAGUCAGCUCUCGGCUCUCCUGACGGAAGACAAAUGUUGUUACGGUAGGAGGUGUUGAAAACAGCCCAUGACCCGUUUUGUUGGAUCUCAGGGUGGAUUACGUGCCCCGCUUCUGUGCUUUUAAUCUGACCCACCUUCUUGAUCCCCUUUGGCUGGGUUGACCUUCAGAUGGAUUUGCAUUCUCCAGCCCAUGGCCUCUUGUGGCAGGGAAAGGGGGUAGUGAGCCAAGUUCACUGGCAUGGGGGUGCGGGCGUCCACGGAGACCUCAGGCUCCCCGGGGAGUACCGUAUAUAAACCAGUUCUCUCGCAGAAGGAGAGGCGAUGGUGGGCCCUGCGUGCAGGCAGCCUGACACCAAGGCGAGUUGCGCGGCCCCAGACAGGCCUCCCAGAAACCCCCCAGCCCCACGCCAGGAACAACGUGACAGAGGCUUUCAGUGAAACACUAGAAAUCGUGAUGGGCGGGUCUGCAACAUGACCUCAUUCAUUAAGUGCUGCCUGCUGUCAAAAAGUCGUCAAACCCUGUCACCCCCGUUUUAGAAAUCACAAAACUCAGAGACAUUUUAUUUGCUUUUUUAAAAACAUUUUUAUUUAUUUUUGAGAGAUAGAGAGCGAGCGGGGGAGGGGUAGAGAGAGAGGGAGACACAGAACCGGAAGCAGGGUCCAGGCUCCGAGCUGUCGGCACAGAGCCCGACGCGGGGCUCGAACUUGUGAACAUGAGACCGUGACCUGAGCCAAAGUCAGAUACUUAACCGAUGAGCCAUCCAGGCACCCCUUAUUUAUGUUUUUAAAGACUUUAAGUAAACUCUCCACUCAAUGUGGGGCUCAAACUUACAACCCCAUCCACGAUCAAGAGUCACAAGCUCAACCAGGCCAGCCAGGUGCCCCCUCUUUGAGACGUUUUAUUUGUUGUGUUAUUAUUUUGUUAACGUUUGUUUAUUUGUGAGACAGAGAAGGAGAGAGAGAAUCCCAAGCAGGCUCUGCACCGUCCAUGUGGAACCUGACCCGGGGCUCAAACCCAUGAACCACGAGAUCAUGACCUGAGCCAAAGCCAAGAGUCCGACACUGGACAGACAGAGCCACCCUGGCGCCCCUCUUUGAGACAUUUGAAAGCUCACUUUAAUCCUCAGAGAGGGUACUGUGUGACUGUAAAAAAAAACGUACGUGACGUUGUUGGCUUGCUCCUUCCCCUGUUCCCAUCUCGUAGGAAGUCUGAGAGGCCUGUGUCUACAGCCGCUGGAGACCUUAUUGCAAGUCGUUUUCAUUUCUAGGUGUCAAAAAUACCUGAGAUGAUGUAUCUGUGAUGACAUUGCAGGAUAACGUCCACAGGAGUGCCCAUUGCACCACAUCCAUGUUUUGUUUCAUGUGUAAUUGCUUUGAGAGCGUGAGAUCGAGGGGGGUGCGUGAGUUAGGGAGAGGCNAUCGGACGCUUAACCGACAGAGCCGCCCAGGCGCCCCGGCUACCGCGUCCGUGUUUCGAGUGUCCUUUUGCGUCGUAAGUGAUGACUGCUUUGCUUUGCAGAGUGGAAGUCUUGUCCACAGCUACCGAGGCACUGGCGGCAUCUUCGAGGUGUGCUGGAAUGCCCGAGGGGACAAAGUGGGUGCCAGCGUGUCCGAUGGCUCUGUAAGCAGCACCUGUGGUUUGCCUGGGAGGGGCGGGGAGGGGAGGGGCGGGGCGGGGCACAAAGACGAAACUUCGGGCAGCGGAUACCCGAGUGCAGCUGCAGGGGUGUGACGGGCCCUGGUCUCUGACCGCUUUGCACGCAGGCGCUGAACAGACGUGCUUCUGGUGAAGGAAACUUCUGGGAUGACCCCCUGGGUUGGCACCAUCUGUGAAUGGCCACCUCUUCCUCCCUUCCAGGUUGUCAUUCUAGCCAGCAUUUUCUUAGGGAUAUUCUGCCCCGUGAGGAUGCCACAGGGGUGACCCUGCCCUGUCACAAUGUCAGGAGGCACUCUGGGCUGUCACUACUUUGACAGGGGCGCUACUGGCAUCUGGUGCGUGGAGGGCAGGGAGGCCGCCAGUCCUCCCACAAUGCGCAGAAUGGCCCCCGGAGCGGGGAAAGAUCUGGCUCUGGGUGUCACUGGUGCCGAGGCUGAGAAACUUGCUCCUAGCUUAGUUCCAUGUUUGUGACCCUGACCUCUUGUGAUAAAGGCAUGGCCUCCUGGUCUUAUUCUGCUCCCGUGAGAUGUCUAGCCUCUUGAUUCGUUCCCGCACUUGGGCUUGCCAUGAGCCCCAAGGCGGGGGGCAGCAGUGGGGCUGGCUCGGUGACUGUCAGUGAGGGCCGCAAAUGUUCCCAUCGUCUGCGUGCUCGGGCUGGAGUCGUCCUCUCCAUCACGUAGCCCGCCCCUCCCCCACUGGUUCCUGGCAUUGUCCUCGACCUGGAGCUUCCACGUAGUGCUGUUUGCUUGGCGUUGCUGGGUCACAUGCUCACACACUAGCCUUUUAUUAAAGCUGCCAAUAAAACUUUAUUUACAGAACAUGGGUGGCGGGCCGGAGUUGGUCCAGGGGCUCAAAAGGCAUCUUGCUGUCAUCUGUGAAGAUAAGAGGCACCUUCUGUUUCCUUCCAGGUGUGUGUUUUAUAUCUCCGAAAGUAAACAGAAACUAUUCUAGAAGAGAAUUCUAACGGACCAGCAGUGAAUGUGUGAAGCAGCAAUGCUCAGACACCAUUCUUUCCGCUCCAAAACUGUACGAACUUGACUUGCAUUAGAGUGUACUUGGAAAUCAGUUCAUCCUGGCCACAGGAGUCUCUACUUUCUCAUAAUCUUCAUCAAGAAGUUUAAACCAGAAACAUACACAGUCAUAUCAAAGGGGGAAGGAAUGGUUUCCACCCAGAACAUUCAGCCUGGGAAGCAUGGGGCCACCGGCUAGGUGGGGCACGGUUUGCUUUCCAUCCAGAACAGGCUCUGAUAGUUGAGAGGAGAAAAGAUGAAGAGGAGAAAAAAGAAAAAAAGCUGUGCCAAAAAAGAAAAAAGAAAAGAAAAAAGAAAAAUUCUGUGAUAAAACCAAAAGUGGGGGAGGGGACUCUCCUCCACGUGGUGGGUUCGUUUUUCCCCCUAACAAUUUGGACACUGCACUUGCUUUCACAAAGGAUGUUCAAAGACCAGUUUGUACCGAUGAAAUGCGCAACUUUGUAAUCCCAACACUUUCUAUUUUCUAGAAUCUUCUUUGUCCGGUGGUUUUUCUAUUGGCUGGAAUCCUGUCGUCCGGGGGCCUUCGGUCUGAGAUGGAAACUGGUUUUGGUUUGUUGCUUCCUUCCCACUGUGUGCCCCCUCCACCUCUCCUUCGUGCGGUGUGGUGUUGAUUUGACUACACCUUCCGUAGACGCAGCCUCGUGGACACCAUGCCAGAAUCUCUGACGGUCGGCUUUCCCGUCCCUUCGUCCUCCCCUCCGCCCUUCCUCCCUCUCCCUCACCGCCCCUCGCUCACUCACUGUCCCUUUCUCAUAGUUGCUUCGGAUCUUCGGUCUCAAGGGCACUUUCGGCUCAUAAUAAGUGCUUUAUGUAAGAAGGCAGGGCACGGGGACUUUUUACAGGAGAAAAAAAA
rnacentral:lncRNA from 1 species